CUGGUUGAUCCUGCCAGUAGCAUAUGCUUAUCUUGGAGAUUAAGCCAUGCAUGUCUAAGUUUAAGUAUUUAACGGCGAAAUUGCGAAUGGCUCAUUAAAACAGUUAUAGUAUAUUUGAUAAUGUUUUUACAUGAAUAACCGUGGGAAACUAGAGCUAAUACAUGCAUAAAGGCCUUCGGGUUGUAUUUAUUAGCUAUAACCUUUCGCUUUGCGUAUAGAGGAAUCAUAAUAACUGAUCGGAGCGCACUAAAGCUGCGCUAAAUCUUUCUAGUUUCUGCCCUAUCAGCUUGAUGGUAGUGUAUUGGACUACCAUGGCUAUCACGGGUAACGGAGAAUUGGGGUUCGAUUCCGGAGAAGGAGCCUGAGAAACGGCUACUACAUCUACGGGAGGCAGCAGGCGCGUAAAUUACCCAAUCCUGACUCAGGGAGGUAGUCACAAGAAAUAGUAUACCAGAGACUAACAUCUCUAGUUUUGCAAUGGAUUUAGUUUAAAGCCUUAUUUGAAAUCUAUUGGAGGGCAAGUCUGGU
rnacentral:rRNA from 1 species